UGGGGAAUAUUUCACAAUGGGCGCAAGCCUGAUGCAGCCAUGCCGCGUGUAUGAAGAAGGCCUUCGGGUUGUAAAGUACUUUCAUCUGGGAGGAAGGGAGUAAAGUUAAUACCUUUGCUCAUUGACGUUACCCGCAGAAGAAGCACCGGCUAACUCCGUGCCAGCAGCCGCGGUAAUACGGAGGGUGCAAGCGUUAAUCGGAAUUACUGGGCGUAAAGCGCACGCAGGCGGUUUGUUAAGUCAGAUGUGAAAUCCUCGGGCUCAACCUGGGAACUGCAUCUGAUACUGGCAAGCUUGAGUCUCGUAGAGGGGGGUAGAAUUCCAGGUGUAGCGGUGAAAUGCGUAGAGAUCUGGAGGAAUACAGGUGGCGAAGGCGGCCCCCUGGACGAAGACUGACGCUCAGGUGCGAAAGCGUGGGGAGCAAACAGG
rnacentral:rRNA from 1 species